UACGUAGGUGGCAAGCGUUGUCCGGAAUUAUUGGGCGUAAAGCGCGCGCAGGCGGCCUUUUAAGUCUGAUGUGAAAGCCCACGGCUCAACCGUGGAAGGUCAUUGGAAACUGAAAGGCUUGAGUACAGAAGAGGAAAGCGGAAUUCCACGUGGUAGCGGUGAAAUGCGUAGAUAUCGGGAGGAACACCUGUGGCGAAAGCGGCGCACUGGACCAUAACUGACGCUGAUGCGCGAAAGCUAGGGGAGCAAACAGG
rnacentral:rRNA from 1 species